CAAACUUCUAGCGAAAUACUAACAGCAUCUAACUUACCAAUCCAAAAGAAAUGUUGCAAGUUCGGUGUCGAACCUCAUUUCUUUCAGGUCCAUCAGUUGUCUCCAGCGAUUGAAAGCAGUGCCGAUGUUUACUCUGGUUCGGCUCCUUUUCUUAUCGGAUUUGAUUUGUGAUUCCGAGCGCGGUUGUUUCCCUGUAGCGGGUGGUGGUCUCUUGCCAAGGGCUUCAGUCAUCCUUCCGCUCUCUUCCCUGAACUGAAAUGAAGUAGUGGGCUGUACUUUCCACACGAUUGACAUCAGGUUCAGGUAUGCCCACAAGCCGUGCGACUUAUUCAUGUAUUGCAGGUUGGCUGGUGGUUAUGUUGCCCGCAUACCGCCUCCCAUGGCCGAAACUGGUAUUACGACACCUGUCGGGCCGGGGCUAGUAAUGCUAAUGCUAAUUAAGCAAAAACCCACAAGCGUGUACGUCUGCAGACUGCAAGACGGGGGCGUAACUUGAAGUGGGCGUAACUUGAAGUAGGAGGCGUAACUUGAAGUUGUCCAAAUCACACAGAACCACGCGAGACCUCAAAACGAUAAGUUGUUGGCAAAAUGGCGACACAGAGUAGAAUAUUGAUUACGUUUUAAGGGAGGCAGGGGUUAUAGGCAGGAUUUGAUGCAUGAUGUGUUUGUAGAUAUUAAUGUUAGGGGACAAUGUGAGAGUGUACGUUUUAGUAGGAAAACGUAUUAUCUGACCCACACUCCGGAACAGAAGAGGGCGGUAUUGCACCAAUAAACUGGAUGCCAACCGCCGUUGAACUGGAAAGAAGACGAAUAUGACAGCUUGCUGUGAGAGAAAACGGGACAGAUGAGACACAUAUGUGUUGAUCUGCUGCAGAGACACUGAUGAAGGAAUACUGCCAUCAAAGGAUUUGUAUCUUUUGUGGUGAAGCAGGACCAGCAAGGAAAGGUGAAAAAGAGGGAAAACCUGAAACAAAAGAAUAAUGUAAUGACUUUUUGUAUUGUGUAUGUGUAUUUUUGUAGGACAUGAAAAUGUCUGUAGACUGGUGUGUGCACUGAGGAUGGAGAAGACCACAGCAUCAUCCUGGAAAUGAUCGAGAGUCACAGAUGAGACGCUCCCUCACUCCACCUGCCCUUUACUGUCUCACCAGGACCAGAUGCUGCUGUGGUGUCUUCAUCCUCAGUGACCCCAGAGCCAGUGAGAGCAUCUAGAGAAAGACCACAAGACACUGAGGAUGUGAUUUUGGGGCCUACAAUCCCCUGAUCAACCUAGAGAACAGAGCCUUGCCCAAGGACACACUGGUGUUCCUGUGGCUCAAGUGGUAGAGCAUUGCGUUAGCAGUGCAAGGUUGUGGGUUCGAAUACCAGGGAACACAUGUUAGGUAGUCGUGCUCAUGGGGUGCAGGCACACGAAAGUUUGGAGCAGACACAGCAGUCAGAUUGUCCUGCACGUGUUCUUCUGCUCUAGCUUCAAGGUUGUGUGGUUCAGAGAGCCGUCAUCAAGGUCUUCAUC